AUUGGAAACUGAGGACCCCAUGUGACCUCCGAGGCCCUUCGCUGAGCCGACCCCGCCCCUCCGCCGUUGAGGGGGCGCAUGCGCAGCCCGUGUUAGUGAUGGAGGAGAGAAGAUGGCGGAAGCGGAAUUUAAGGACCACAGUACAACUAUGGAUAGUGAACCAAACCCUGGAACAUCUUCUGUGUCAACAACAACCAGUAGCACUACCACCACGACCAUCACUACUUCCUCUUCUCGAAUGCAGCAACCACAGAUAUCUGUCUACAGUGGCUCAGACCGACAUGCUGUGCAGGUAAUUCAACAGGCAUUGCAUCGCCCCCCCAGCUCAGCUGCUCAGUACCUUCAGCAGAUGUAUGCAGCUCAGCAGCAGCACUUGAUGCUGCACACUGCAGCUCUUCAGCAGCAGCAUUUGAGCAGCUCCCAGCUUCAGAGCCUUGCAGCUGUUCAGGCAAGUUUGUCCAGUGGAAGACCAUCUACUUCCCCGACCGGAAGUGUCACACAACAGUCAAGUAUGUCCCAGACAUCUAUCAACCUGUCCACUUCUCCUACACCUGCUCAGUUAAUAAGCCGUUCCCAGGCUUCCAGUUCUACCAGCGGCAGUAUUACCCAACAGACUAUGUUACUAGGGAGUACCUCCCCUACCCUAACGGCAAGCCAAGCUCAAAUGUACCUCCGAGCUCAAAUGCUGAUUUUCACACCCGCUACCACUGUGGCUGCUGUACAGUCUGACAUUCCUGUUGUCUCGUCGUCAUCGUCAUCUUCCUGUCAGUCUGCAGCUACUCAGGUUCAGAAUUUAACAUUACGCAGCCAGAAGUUGGGUGUAUUAUCUAGCUCACAGAAUGGUCCACCGAAAAGCCUUGGUCAAACUCAGUCACUGACAAUUUGCCAUAACAAAACAACUGUGACCAGUUCUAAAAUCAGCCAACGAGAUCCUUCUCCAGAAAGUAAUAAGAAAGGAGAGAGUUCAAGUCUGGAGUCACGAAGCACAGCUGUCACCCGAACAUCAAGUAUUCACCAAUUAAUAGCACCAGCUUCAUAUUCUCCAAUUCAGCCUCAUUCUCUAAUAAAACAUCAACAAAUUCCUCUUCAUUCACCACCUCCCAAGGUUUCCCACCAUCAGCUGAUACUACAACAGCAGCAGCAGCAGCAGAUUCAGCCAGUCACACUUCAGAAUCCAACUCAAGACCCACCCCCAUCCCAACACUGUAUACCACUCCAAAACCAUGGCCUUCCUCAGGCUCCCAGUAACGCCCAGUCUCAACAUUGUUCGCCAAUUCAGAGCCAUCCUCCUCCUCUAGCACUGUCUCCCGGCCAGUCGCAGUCAGCGCAGCAGUCUGUAGUCGUGUCUCCUCCACCACCUCACUCACCAAGUCAGUCUCCUACUAUAAUUAUUCAUCCACAAGCACUGAUUCAGCCACACCCUCUCGUUUCAUCAGCCCUCCAGCCAGGCUCAAACUUGCAGCAGUCCACUGCAAAUCAGGUGCAGCCUACAGCCCAGCUGAAUCUUCCAUCCCAUCUUCCGCUUCCAGCUUCCCCUGUCGUACAUAUUGGCCCCGUUCAGCAGUCUGCCUUGGUGUCCCCAGGUCAGCAGAUUGUAUCUCCGACAUCACACCAGCAAUAUUCAACCCUGCAGUCCUCUCCAAUCCCAAUUGCAACCCCUCCACAGAUGUCGACAUCUCCUCCAGCUCAGAUUCCACCACUGCCCCUGCAGUCUAUGCAGUCUUUACAAGUGCAGCCUGAAAUUCUGUCCCAGGGCCAGGUUUUGGUGCAGAAUGCCUUGGUGUCAGAAGAGGAGCUUCCAGCUGCAGAAGCUUUGGUCCAGUUGCCAUUUCAGACUCUUCCCCCUCCACAGACUGUUGCGGUAAACCUACAAGUACAACCGCCAGCACCUGUUGAUCCACCAGUGGGAAUGCAUUUGAACCAGUGUCAUCUGCACAAAGUUUUUUCUCUUAAGGUUUAUCAAGUAGAAGAUGUAUGUGAAGAAGAAAUGCCAGAAGAGGCAGAUGAAUGUGUCCGGAUGGACAGAACCCCACCACCACCCACUUUGUCUCCAGCAGCUAUCACUGUGGGGAGAGAAGACCUGACUUCUGAACAUCCUUUGUUAGAACAAGUGGACUUGCCUGCUGUGGCAUCAGUCAGUGCUUCGGUAAUUAAAUCUCCAUCAGAUCCUUCACAUGCUUCUGUUCCUCCACCUCCGCUUCUGCUUCCGGCUGCGGCUACAAGGAAGAGUGGUGCAUCUGUGCCCAGCAGCACUCACAGCAUAGAAAACAAACCUCCACAGGCUAUUGUUAAACCUCAGAUCUUGACCCAUGUUAUUGAAGGCUUUGUGAUUCAGGAGGGAUUGGAGCCAUUUCCUGUGAGUCGUUCAUCUUUGCUAGUAGAACAGCCCAUGAAAAAAAGGCCUGUUUUGGAUAAUCAGGUGAUCAAUUCUGUGUGUGUUCAGCCGGAACUACAGAACAAUACAAAGCACGCAGAUAAUUCAUCCGACACGGAGAUGGAGGACAUGAUUGCUGAAGAGACAUUAGAAGAAAUGGACAGUGAGUUGCUCAAGUGUGAAUUCUGUGGGAAGAUGGGAUAUGCAAAUGAAUUUCUGCGGUCAAAACGAUUCUGCACUAUGUCAUGUGCCAAAAGGUACAAUGUUAGCUGUUCCAAAAAAUUUGCACUUAGUCGUUGGAAUCGUAAGCCUGAUAAUCAAAGUCUUGGGCAUCGUGGCCGUCGUCCAAGUGGCCCUGAUGGGGCAGCAAGAGAACAUAUCCUUAGGCAGCUUCCAAUUACUUAUCCAUCUGCAGAAGAAGACUUGGCCUCUCAUGAAGAUUCUGUGCCAUCUGCUAUGACAACUCGUUUGCGCAGGCAGAGUGAGCGGGAAAGAGAACGUGAGCUUCGAGAUGUGAGAAUUAGGAAAAUGCCGGAGAACAGUGACUUGCUGCCAGUUGCACAAACGGAGCCAUCAAUAUGGACUGUUGACGAUGUCUGGGCUUUCAUCCAUUCUCUGCCUGGCUGCCAGGAUAUCGCAGACGAGUUCAGAGCACAGGAGAUUGAUGGACAGGCCCUUCUUCUGCUAAAAGAAGACCACCUCAUGAGUGCCAUGAACAUCAAGCUAGGCCCAGCCCUAAAGAUCUGUGCACGCAUCAACUCUCUGAAGGAAUCUUAACAGGAACGUGAGGCUUUGUGGUAACAGUAGUUUUACUCUUCUCAAACAGAUCUGUAAGGUAAAGGCUCCAGCCGGCCUGGCUAUUACACUUAUUAUGAUGGAUAGCCAAGCACACUGGGAUCUCUGCAUCAAAUAAAUGUUGGCAUUUCUUCUACAAAUAAAAUCAUUCAUCAUAUGUUUUAAUAAUUAGCCAACAUUGGUGAAAUUAAUUUUACAGGUUACAUGCAUCAGUGAAAGACUUGUUAUAGAAGGUCAUAAUAUUUUUCAAACAGACGUGUUGUACUAGACAAUUUUUUUAAGGGUAAUGUUUGCAUUAAUAUAAAGAAUCAUUUUAAAAGUAAUUUAAUGAUUUUACAUUUCUCCUUCUUUGAUUCGUUUUUCUUAUACAUUUUUAUACCCUAUUUACUUAGUUUUUUAAAGGUUGUCAGAAGAGCUAUGUCAUGGAAUAAUUUAGGAGUCCAGUGACUGGAAUCGUAUGCAAUGAAAUGUCGAUGUACAUUUUAACAAAACGUGUCCUUUAGACAGAUGCUUUGCCUAUAAAAAGGAUUGCAUUCUAGCAUGAACAAUGGUGAUCUGGAAGUCAGAUGAGUUGGUUCCUAUUCUGAACUUGACCAAGAGUUUGGCCUUGACUGAGAAAGUUAGUGUUCUCUCAUCUUUUGCGCAUGUAGAGCAGUAGUUCUCAACGGGAGGGAAAUUUUGCUUCCCAGGGGACAUUUGGCAAUGUCUAGAAACAUUUUGGUUGUCACACCUGGGGGUGGGGGGAAGGGGAGGAGUUGCUACUGACAUCUAGUGGGUAGAAGCCAGGGAUGUUGUUGCUAAACAUCCUACAAUACACAGGACAGCCCUCCAUAACAAGGAGCAUCUGGCCCAAAAUGUCAGUAGUUCCAGGGUUGAAACCCUGAAGUAGAAUGAGGAGUGUUAAGUAUUGCUCUUUUUCACCCAAAGGAUAUUUUGUAAUGAUGGAGUAUAAUAAGGAAUACAUAUACAAUGAGAGAAUUAUUCAGAUAAUGUCAGUGGUGUGCUAAAGGUGUUUUUUUUUUUUUUUCUCUUUCAGUUUUAGGCAUACUCGGAAAAGAGGAGACAAUCUCCAUUAUGAAUUGACCUAUAAAAUAAGGACUAGCUUCCUAAUAAGUUGACUCUCAGAAAGUACUGAUUGAUAUUAACUAUUUUUCAUAUCUCUGUGCUCCUCUGCACUGAUGAAAGCAUAAAUAUAAUUAUACCUUAUGAACCAGUGAGGAAAUAGUCUGUAGGGGAUACGUGGUGGUUCUUUGGAUUCUUUCUUAUGUUGAAUAUGCUGGGUCUAGCUAGAAUGCACAUUCCUUUUUCCUUUACAUGCUUUUUCCCUUGCAUGCUUCCUGCAAAGCACUUACCAAGUGAUAUCUCUUGGGAGGUCAGAUCUAAUUUUGUAUGUACAUUUUUAAGGAAGAAAUUUUAAAGUGGAAUCUUUCACUGAGCACAGUUAGUAUUCUAUAGAAUUAGGACACACUUAAAAUCAUUUGUGGUAGCCUGGAGAGCUUCGUUGUCCUGGACCUUGAAGAUUUUAUUUGAGAAGAUUACGCAGGUUUUGUUUUAAUCUUUUCGUGUAUCUUUACCACAUAAUUGAGAUAUUUUAAUAAUUGAGGGAACACACAGCUACUUGGCAGAAAUGCAGUAAGUGGAGAAAGAGUCCGUGAGUUUCAGUCAUCUCCACUGCUCUUCUCAGAAAGAUUGUGUCGAACUAGAAAAAGACUAAGAUGUCAAUACAGACAUCGCAGAUUUUAUCUUUUGGCUUUGUGUACAUUAGAGAAUGUUGAUUAUUUUUAUACAGAAAUACAGCGGGUAAUUUUUUUAAUCUUUUAGAUGCCUCUUGUUUGAAUGUAUGCUUUGUGAGAUUCUUUUGUGUAGUAAUGUUUAAAAAAAAAAAAGUUUACUGAUAGUGUAGGGUUAGAAAGUGUAACAUAGUAUAAGGCUCAUGUUCCAGACCUACAGUAGCUUCUGUCUGUGUUACAUAUUUCUUUAUGUCACAUUUCAAGGAAAAGUAAGGUACUCUGUAGUCAGUUUUCAUAUAUUAGUUGUCAUAUACUUGACUUUUGAAUACAAUUUCCCCUUGUCUUUUUUCAGAGUUUCAGAACACAAUUACAGGCUAAGCAUUAGUAGAUGGCCCACUAUAUAGGUGGUGCGCAGAGGAAAUGCUCCCUUGGAAUUAAAAUUUUAUCACAGAUAAUCCAUACACAAUUAGUACAAAAUCGAUUAUUUGGCAUUAGACUCCCCUAGCAAUGAAGAGGAGUCUAACGCCACUUCACUCCCCUAGUGAAGAAGGAGGGGACUAAUAGGAGGAAAGGCAUUUCAGACCCCAGAAGCUGGUACAGUUAACUGAGUGAGGUCAUAUGGUAUAGAUAUGGCCUUUGUCAGAAAUUCAAAAUAAUAAAUUGUAUUUGUCCGAUCCCAGUUACAGCAAUAAACAGGUUAUAUAGUUUUUAUGAUGUCAAGCUCCACCUGUAAUCAGACUCAUUAUUUCACUCUGUUUAUCAUGUGAUCUUGCCCUUUGGAGCAUAUAUAGUUCUGAAGAUAACUCUUAUUAUCAAUAGCCUUUAAAGUAUUAACUUUGAACUGUGUUGUAGGUUUGCCUUUUAUUUACUCUCCCUCUUCUCAUAUCAGUCAUUAGGUACUUGUUGAAAGUCCCUGUGCCUGCCACUGUGUUAAGUAUCCUAGAGGGGCUUACAGGAGAGGUUUCUGCUUGAGAAUGUCCUAUCUAUUGUCAUAAGAGCAGUCCAGACCUUCUGUUGUCCCCACUCAAAACAUACCCAAAAAAUACACUUGCUUUUUUCAAGUGAAUUGUGUUAUCUAGAAGUGGCUCACGUGCUUUCUUUAUCUUAAUUCCAAAGCUUCCAUUAUAUUUAAUGAACAUAUAGAUGGUAACACUGGUGUCCACCCCUUUCCUGAGCCUCAAACAUGGUUGAAACAAUUUAGUUGGUGAUGUAUAGGUGGGGAGGGUGCAUUUCUUUUCAUUUCCUUUCGUAUUACUAGUUGUUUUAGGAUUUUGAUUGGGGAGAGAGAAUGACAAGCAGAGAUGGGACAUGGGAGAAUCUUCCUAUUUUUGCCAACUAAAUUUGCAUUUUCUGACUUCUUUUAACUGAUGCAUUCUUUUCCCAUGGUGUGGGGGUGGGGGUGGGGAACACAAGUUUGAAAUUUUAUUCCCUUUAAGCUUUCUUCUCCUAGGAAAGUCAACAAACUUGAGUGAGCUGGUGUAAUGUUUACCUUUCCCAUGACGUUAAUUUUUAUUAAGCGAGCCUUGUGUCCCAAUACCCAGUACGUAAAACACAGCUGUGCAACUCUGAUGUAAUGAGUAUAGGGUGGGAUAGAGUGUUGUCCCAACGCCUGUCACCUUCUUAGUGGCAUGUAACUAUUUCCAUGAUACUUUUAAUUUUCCAUGGUAUCUUCUAAAUAGAAGCUCGUUUGUUCAUUUCCCUUAGUUCUAUCACCCAGGGGUAGAGAAGGUGGAAUGGGUGGGAAGAAAUGUUAGGAAGAACCUUGAGAAUGGGAAAGAGGCAGACAAGAAACCUGCCAUUUUACUUGGUCUAGCCCACUUCAACACUGAACAAAUUUUUGCACUUUUGAAGUGAUUAUUUAUGUUUUACCUAGUUUUAAAGAGAUAUGAUUUUCUUCUUUUAGGUUGUCUUACUGUUUAUCUUUGUUCCUGGGUCUGCUAAAACACUAGAACUGUAUGGGAACAGUGUCGUGACCAUGCCUUUGAAUAAUUCUUGACGCAGCAAAUCUUCACAUAACAAGUAUGAAGUCAUUAUAGUCAGAUAUGAAUAAAAACAGUUUGGGAAAGAAUAAACUGUUAUGAUGUAUGUGAAUGAUGCUAUCCUAACAGCUGUAUAUCCAGCAGAUGAAAUCCCUGGCUGGACACACGGUUAAAACUUUUUAAGAGAGACAUUUUCAACAGAAUAGGCUGGUUAAACACUUUGUGGUUUGAAUGUUCACACCCUUGGGGAAUAGCCGGGACGCAUGCUGUCUGUGCACAACUGGCAGUGAGUAUUACCUGAUGGCGUGAAGGGCCUCGCUUACUCCUUACCCCCACUAAAGUCUCUCCCAGCCCCGAGAAAACUCUACAUGAAAACUUUCUUCAGAGAGAGAGACCUUUGCCUGACAAUGCUUAGAGAGGAUUUUGCAGUGGGGAUCUAGGGAGCAGCAGGGGCCACAGGACCUGACAGUCCUGUACCAGCAGAGCCUUUAUCUAUGCCAGAGGUGUGCUUGGCCUGUUCCUUGUGCACCAUGUAUAACUAGCUGGGCCCAGAGUGGACUUUUCUGGUGGGAACAAUAAAGGAGAGAAGUGAAGAAGGAGGGGACUGAUACGAGGAAACGCAUUCCAGACCCCAGAAGCUGGUGCAGUUAACUGAGUGAGGUCAUACAGUAUAGAUAUGGCCUUUGUCAGUAAUUCAAAAUAAUAAAUUGUAUCUGUCAGAUCCCAGUUACAACAAUAAACUGGUUAUAGUUUUUAUGAUGUCAAGAUCCACCUGUAAUCAAACUCAUUUCACUCUAUCAUGUGAUCUUGCCCUUUGGAGCAUAUAUAGUUCCGAUGAUAAGUUACUCAUUUUGUGUAAUCGGAAUUACAGAGGAGUACCAUUUUCAGAUGUCACAGUUGAAUCAACCUUGUGGAUUGUUAUAAAGAAGGGCAUUUUAAAAAUAGUAUUUCAUUUAUUAGGUUGUGUCUCAGUUGAGAACUGGGUGACUAAGAGCUAUAGGUUUCUCUUCAGUAGUCUGGAUUUCAGUAAACACAAGGCUACCUCUAUUUAUUUGGCGCACAGCAGUGUGGAUCAGGAAGUGAACUGUUUGACUGACAUUCAUCAAUAAUGGUCUUUUGUAAAAUUAGAGCAUUUGUUUCAUCUCCAAGACUGUGAUUCAAUUUAGGUAAGCACAAAUACAGUAUUAAGAAAAGUAAAUAUGGCAGUCUUAUUAAAAUUUAAUUUCAACCUGUCAAAGCUGUACAUCUUUUUAAAAAAUUCUUUGGGAAGAUAUUCCUCUUUUGUUAGAGGUUCAUGAAACAUAUCAGUAUACAGUUUCCUUCAUGGCAGCAAUACAAGCCAUUUCUUUAGUAAAAAAUGUUUAAAAUUAUACUGUCUUUGGAAAAAUAGUUUCCUAAAUUUCUAAAAAGUUUCAGAGUUUUACAUAUUAUUUUUUAGAGCUUAUUUAACCUAUUUAAAAUUAGACUAUGAAAAAGCUUUUUUAAAAAGUUGUAGAGCACUAAAACAAGUAUAAUUAUAACCAUCAUCUUCCAGAGAAGAAGUUUGUCUUUUUCUGAACUUCGAAGUUCCACUUUAGUAAAAGUAGAUUGGGAGGAGUUCAUCCCUUCCCCUUUCAAUCUGAAGGUGGCUUCUCUAAUGAAAAUUCUUCCAUUCUGCUGUACUUUGGGAGCGAGAUUUAAAUGCACACGCACGCACACGUACAUGUACUUCUUAAGUUCCAUGUUUAUGGAACCUUUUGGGGAAGUUUUUCCAUGAAUGUAUUAUUUGCUCCCUUUUUAGAGCUUCUGAACUUUUUUGGGAAAUAAGAUGGCAAGUUUAAUCUCAGAGGGUUGGAGAAGUGGUACAAAAUGAGGUUCUGGCUAAUGCUUUAUACUUUAGAAAAAUAUUUUUUCUACUACCUUUCAAAAGUACAACUGUUGGUCUCGUUGAGUGCCACUGGCAGCAGUCGGUAUGAAUCCAGAGAAGGAAAACCUGUGCAAAAAAUUUAAAAGGCGUUGUUUAAAAGAAGUAUAGUAAUGAAAACCUUAAUUGGAAGAAAUCGGCGUAAAUGUAAAACUUUACAGCAAUGUGGUAUAGCUUUAAAUAUAAGAGCAGUCUAGUAAGUCCUUUUAGACCACCCAUUAAACUAAGUCCCGUAAUCUUCUGGAUUGAUAGUAGCCAUCAUUUAUUGGCUUAAAAGUUAUACUUCACAGACAGUUAUCAGUGUUAAGUCCAUAUUUUGUGGCGCUUUAAUAGAGGUAAAUAAAGUUGGCAUGUACAGUAGAGCAGUAGGGCUUAUUGUCAUCUGUGAAAUAAACACCAACCUGUUUUAGAAAGAAGGAAUUUUAAGUUUUGCCUCAAGUAACCAGAAUUGUCCAGCUUUUAAAGUCUUUGUUUAGAUUGCUUUCUUAAAAGUAAUUUAUCACUUUGUUUUAGGUAGUAUUAAAUAAUGAGUAAAUAAUCUACUUCCAUAGUGAUUAAUAGAUGAACAUGGUCAGUGAAUUAACUUGAGAGUAAAGAUAAACCAUUCUGGCCUGUGUGGGACACUUGGGCAGUUUACUGUCCUUGGCUUUUUUUUUUACCUCAGUUUCCUCUUCCAUAUUUACAGCAUGAUGUCUCUGCUACUCAAAAUUUUGUUUCGGUUUAAAUAAUCUUUAAGGUGCCUUGCAGUUCAAAACUAUGGAUUCUGGGCCACAUAGUGGGCUAUUUUUAAAGUUGCUCCUACUUAGUUCUCUUUUCCCCUUUUACUGGUUCAUGUUUCUAUUAAAGAGUUUUUGCUCAAAGGUAUUUAUUAAUCAUUCGUUUCCUGGGACAGACAGUAUUUAUUCUCCUAAGAAUUAAGGUAAAAGAUUCAUACAGGCAAACAAAUGAGGGCAUUUUUCUAAAUGCUACUUGCUAUAUUAAGCACUAAACAUCUGAACACUGCCAUUCCUGCAUUUAUUCACUCAUUCGACAAACCAUCUGAGCAUUUACUACGUGCAGUAUGUGCCUGUACAUGACUUAAGGAACUAAUGUAAGUAAAGAAAAUUCUCCCAGACAAAAUUUUGAUUAAUAAGUGUAGCUUAAAUAUACAUGGACAUAAUUGUUACCUCUUAAUAUGCUUAUGCAAUGGGGAAAGGUUUAGAUUAGGUGACAUCUAAGGGGUCUGAGAGAGUCCCAUCACAAUUCCUGAGACACAUUUCACAAACUAAAUAGCUGUCAACCAUACACCCAGUUAGGUUACAAAAUUAAGGGUACCGACCAUUAAGGACUGAGUAUUUUAAGACUGGUGGGACAGAUCAUAUUUCACAGAAUUAUUUUGACACUGUAAUCUGUUCCUGAGCAUUGCUGUACAGGGCGACUGACGAAGCUGGUACUGACUUACACAGUUUUAACUGCAAAGGCUUUAUGUUUAGAACUGAUGGUGUAAUGACUUUUUUUUUUUUUUGGUAGAUGAAGGUUUACAGAACUGGCUUCUCAUUAAACUGUUAAUACACAUAUUAUUUUAUGACAUUGGUUACCACCCCCACAACAUGUCAACAGACAAUGUAGCAACUUUUCAAAACUGAAAAAAAUCUCAAAGAUUGCUGGGACAGGUUUUUAAAGGAAGAAAAAGUACACAAAUUUUAUUUUUAAGGUUAUUACAAAUAUCCACUUUUUAAAGAUGUGUAAGAAUCAGUAAUAGCACAUGUUAUUACGUGGUAAAUGAGUGUUCUUUAAAGUACAGAACUGGUAAACAUAAACCAGUUCCAUGCUUGAAUUGACAAGUAUUUGAGGAGUAAGCACUGAGCAGGAGAAUGGGUAAAUGAAAUGGGUAAAGGUCCCUCAGGGCCCUGGGAUUCUGGGAAUCACAUUGCAGUUCCUGUUGGCACAGCUUUACAUGGGGACAUCAGUUGAUACUUAGUCUCCAUGAAGAUAUGAAACAAAAGUAUCUAACAUUAAAAACUCUUUCAUGCAUCAUAGCUGUAGCUUUUUAAAGCAAGAAAAUGUCCAAAUAAGUGUUGGAUUAGAAUUUAUACCAAACUGAUUGAAAAUAGGAACAACUAAUAUCCAAGUAGCCAGAGUCUGGGUUUUAAAAAACUGUUGCAUGGUGUUUGUUAAAAAUUACUUUUAAAAUGUUUUACCUAAUUUUUCAAUUAUGCUGUUAAAAUAGUUAUUGCAUAAAUACCUUUUAUAUAUGUCUUUUUAAGUUUAAAAAGUCAACCAGUUGUGCAAAGAUGGUAUUUUGGAUGAUGUCCAGUUUCCAGGGUGUUUAACUAGGUUCCUAAUCAGUUUGCAUUCAAAAGCUUAGUUGCAUUUUAUUUUUCCCUGUAGAAAAAAACAAGUCAAAAUUAAGCUGCAGACUGUCCUGGGAGUCAGGAUUAUGCUGGUAGCUAAGGCUGCAUGUUGUGGACAGCAGUGGGCAGGGCUGGGUGCUGACAGGGGUGGCAGGCAUUUCAAACUGCUCUGUUGAAUUAGGACUUCUUUCCUUCUUGCUUUUAAAUUUGUUUAAAAUUGUUUAAAUUGUUGUGGUUAACUUUUUUUGUUUGUUUUUAGUGCUUCAAGCGCGUGUUAACUGAUUUUUUUAUUCCUCCUCUUGGUUUCUCCCAUUGUUUUAAGAUAGGACUUUGAUAUUAAUAAGAGCUCAAAAGGUGAUCCACCCAGGAUGAGCAAAGCAUCACCAAGGGGAAAGAAAACAUGUUUUUAUCUUUACAGGAAACAUGUCAAGAUUAUAUAUAGAUGUGUUCUUUACAUUCGAUAUUGUAUUAGAGUCCUCCUCACAAGAAAUGAAAUAGUUUUAGCCCUCUUAGCAUUAGAGUUCCUAGAUUGGUGUCUAUAGCUACAGUUAUAAAAUGUAUAACCUAAAACUGAAGUUAAUUUUGCAUUGUAAGAGCACACCAUGAUCUAUGUAAAAAGAUUGUCCACUUGGUGUAUUUUUUUAAGAAAGAAAGCACUUUCAUAUUAACAAGUAGCAUGUGUAUGAAUUUUAGAUUUCAUAUUUGUGUCUGUAUUAAGUGAAGUAAAAUUGAACAUUCAAAUGUUUGUUGAUGGCGACAUUAACUAUGAAAUUAAAGCACCUUACACUCUGCUGCUUAAACUUGCUUGUAAUUGCACCUUUGUUACCUGCACAUUUUCACAUAGAAUAUUGUUGUAACAUUGCUUCAUGUGGGUCUGGAUGGGAGAUUGGUGGGCCUACAGGAUCAUUUAUUUAUAUUGUUUAUAUUACAAUAAUAUAUUGUAGAUCCAAUGUAAGUUCACUUCUUUACAAAUAAAACCCUCUUCCAUUUGGCUGGUCUAUUGAAUAAUUUUUUCUGUAAGUUUAUGAGGCAUUGGGAAUAUCCUCUCUAAGUGAACAAGCAAAUAAUACUCUUAACGAGGGGUUUGAAAUACUGGUAAUUCUCCUAGUUCAAAUUUGUGAAGAGAGUGUAAACAUUUACUAAUUAAGUACGGUGUAUUUUGAAAUAUUCCCGUGUUACAGCCAAUUGGAAAGAGAUAAGAUUCAGGGGAAACAGUAACACGGAAGUAGGACGGGGGUGGGUUAGACAUUCUAAAGACCUUCUAACCCUGUUGUUCCCUGUAGCUGUAGGAUUCAGUUGACCUUUAGAUGCAGUUGGCUCUCUAUAUGUACUUGGUUUUUAUAGAACAAUCUGAUUUUCAUCCCUCACUAUUUUCUCUAAGCAGUUUUUAAUAUAAUGCUAGUCAACAUAGUGGUUAUUUCUCUGCCCUGUAAUGUCUGUUAACAGACCCUGACCAUACAGAUGGGCAUGAUUCAGGCAAGUCCACUCUCCCAUCCCUAGGAGUUUGUAUUUGAAGCUAGGAGAGAGAUGCUUUAAAUAGGCAUAAUAAAAGCCUUAAGCUGUAAGCAUGCAGAAUGCCUACCACGGGGAAAAGUAAAACCGAAAUCGACCCACAGAUUUCUCUGGGUAGGUUACUUGUUGUCUUUCUUAAUAUCCAGCUUUUUCUUAGAAUGGCUCAGGUUGGGCUUGUAUUGCUUGCAACUCAAAGAAUUCCUGACUAAUUAUCCAGCAACAUUUCCCAAAUUGCUGGCGGGUACAGUGGUUUAAGAGCUUGGCUGCUAACCAAAAGGUAGGCAGUUCGAAUCCACCAGCCGCUCCUUGGAAAUUCUGUGGGGCAGUUCUUCUCUGUCCUAUAGGGUCGCUGCGAGUAGGAAUUGACUCGAAGGCAACAGGUUUGUUUGUUUUUUAGUAUUAACUAGAAAGACUUGUAUGUCCAAAUAAGCAGGUUUCUUUACAGUUGAACUUCAGAGUCUUUAUGAUGUUCAUGGGCAUUGUGCAUUUUCAGGUGAAAAAUAUAGGAAACAGCAUUCUCCACAUUUGACCCUGAAACCAUACUUUUGAGAAACAAUGAAUGGGAUCAAUGAAGGGUGGUGAAACAGGAACUCUGGAGCCAGCAGGCCUGGGUUGGAAUCCCAGCUCCCCCAGCUGUGCUGUAUGACUGGAAUGAGUGACUUGAUUUCUAUGUGUUAAUUUCCUCAUAGAGCUGUGAUUAAAUCAGUUGCUGAAUGCAAAACAUUUAAAUUGUGCCUGGCACACAGGAAGGACUUCCUAAAUCUUUGUUACUAUUUGUGCUCCGUGUUCUUAUAACUUGUUUUAGGACAUUUUUAAAACAUUGGAAAGCAAUCCACUUGUGGAUCAUAAACUCAAUUUAGUGGGUCACAACCAGCAUUAAGGAAAAAAAAAAUCCACUACAGAAGGUAUUUAUAUAACAUGUAAAGGUAAGUAUUGUGACGUAUACACUUAUGUAUAUCUAUAAGUGAAUAUGUGUGUGGGUCAUCAAGUAAAAAUAUAUUUUACUAUAAAAAAAAUAUAUAUUUUACUAUAAAAAAAAAUUGGUGCCCAAAAAAACUAAGAGCUACCAAUUUAGAGAAAAUGCUCGGUUUAGGUUAAUUUUAAAAAAUCUUGCAGCAUAUAUUAGUAUUUGUAAAAUCAUGAUCAAAGUAUAUACUCAAUUUCAUUCAUAAAGUACCUUCAGAUUGUUCUGCCAUUCAAAGUGCUUUAUUCCAGUGUUCUCAACUGGGGCAGUUUUGCCUCACAGGAAAUAUUUGGUGAUGUCUGAAACUUUUUUUCCUAAAUUUUAUUUUGUUGUUAAGAAUAUACAUAGCAAAACAUAACACUAUUUUCACAGUUUCUACAUGUACAAUUUGGUGACACUGAUUACAUGCCUUGAGUUGUGUAACCAUUCUCACCUUCCUUUUCUGAGUUUUCCUCCCUCAUUAACAUAAACUCACUGCCUCCUAAGUUCUUAUUUAAUCUUUUGAGUUGCUGUUGUCAAUUUGAUCCCACAUAGACAAUUAUUGAAAGAGCAUAAUGUGCAAGGUAGACUUUUUUUUUUUUACUAGUUAAACUAUUUGGUUUUAAGAUGACUUCAGGGGAUAUUUUUGGUUUAAGGUUUAAAGAUUAUCUCAGGGAAACAGUUUCAGGGGUUCAGCCAGUCCCCUUGGCUCCAGAAAGUUUAGAGUUGUCCAUGAGAAUUUGGAAUUCUGUUCACAUCUUCCCCCGUUUGAUCAGGAUUCUUCUAUGGAAUCUUUGAUCAAGAUGCUUUAGUAAUGGUAGCCAAGCACAAUCCAGUUCUCCUGGUCUCAUGGUAAAGGAGGCAGUUGUUCAUGAAAGCAAUUAGCCAUGCAUUCCAUACCCUCCUCCUUUUUCCUGAGUGUCCUCCUUCCUCUGUUGCUCCAGGUGAAUACAGACCAAUUAUUGUGCCUUGGACGGCCACUUGCAAGCUUUUUAAGACUCCAGGCACUAGCAACGAACUACAAAGUAGAACAGAAGCACUAAACGUAUCAGGCUAAUUAACUGGGAUGUCCCAUGAAACCAUGACCCUAAACUUCCCAACCAAGGAACCAAGUCCCAUGAGGUGUUUGGUUGUACACAGACAGCCUCAGCAGCUUUUUUUUUUUUUUUUCUCAUUGCUGUAAAUAUAUCUUAUUACACAACUUUUGCCAGUUCGACUUUAUACAGGUGUACAACUUACUGACAGCAAUUACAGUGAUCAGCUGUGGAGCCCUGGCUUUAAUACAGUGUGAUUUUUCCAUCACCACUAACUUCCCUUUUACCCCCUUUCUCCCCUGGUAACCACUAAUAAACUCUGGUCUCUAUACAUUUGCAUUUUCUUGUCUUUUGAUAUAAAUGAGGUCAUACAAUAUUUGUCCCUCUGUCAUUGGCUUAUUUUCAGCAAAAUGUCUUCAAGCUCCAUUCAUACUGUAGCAUGUAUCAAGACUUCAUUUCUCCUACUGGCUAAGUAAUCCACUGUAUCUACCAUAUUUAUGCAAAUAACACAUGCUUUCUACAUUUGUUUGCUAAUCGAACCCUCCCCCCAGCAAGGUAUUUUUGUAAGCACUGCCAUUUUUUUUACAUGUUGCUGUAAAAAAAAAUUAGCAUACCACACUCAAGAAAAUACCUUGUAUGUAGAAGGCAUGCGUUACUUGCGUAAAAAUACGAUAUGUACCACAUUUUGUUUAUCCGUCCAGCUGCCAGUGGGCAUUUAGGCUGUUUCCACCCUUUGGCUGCUGUGAAUGGUGGUGCAGUGAACAUGGGUGUACAAGUCUGUUUUUGAGUCUGCUUUCAAAUCUUUUAGGUACACGUUGUAUUUUAAUGCAAACAACACACACCUUCUAUGUUUGUAUGCCAACUGCUCCCUCCUCCCAUGACGUAUUUUUGUGAGCACUCUAUGCUAAUUUUUUUUCUUUUUUUACAGCAACAUGUAAAAAAAAUUUGUAUAGCGUGGCUUAUGAAAAUACCUCAGCGGGGGAGGGAGUGUUUGGCAAGCAAACGUAGAAGGCUCACAUUAAAAAAAAAAAAAAAAAAACAUUAUUUGUGUAAAAAUAUCGUACCUAGGAGUGGAAUUGCUGGGUCAUAAGACAGUUCUAUUUUUAGGUUUUUGGGGUACCGCCAGUUUUCCACAACAGCUGUACCAUUUUGCGAUCCCACCAGCAAUGGGUAAGUGUUCCAAUUUCCCCACAUCUUUGCCAGCAUUUGUUGUUUUUUAAAUCUCAGCCAUUGUCGUCUUGAUUUGCAUCUCUCUGAUGGCUAACGAUGCUAACUAAGCAUCUUUUCAUGUGUUUGGUGGCCAUGUGAAUGUCCUCUGGUGAAAUGUCCAUUCAAGUCCUUGGUCAAUUUUGUUUUUUUUUUUGUUGAGCUGUUGAAGUUUUAUAUAUAUUUUGGUUAUGAGAUUCUUGUCAGAUAGAUAUAUGGUUUCUGAAGGUAUUCUUCCAGUCGGUAGCUUGUCUUUUCACUUUUUUGGUAGUCUUUUGAUGAAAAAGUUUUUAGUUUUUAUGAAGUCCUAUUUGUUUUGUCUUUUGCUGUUUGUGCUUUUGUUAUUAGAUAACCCACUGUUGAAGGCUAGGCUUGACAGCAUUGUCCCUGCUUGUUUUAAGAAUUUCAUGGUUUUAGUUUACAUAUUUAGGUCCUUAAUUCAUUUUGAAUUUGAUUUUUUGUAUGGUGUGAUGCAUGGAUCAUGUUUCAUUUUUUUGCAUGUGGAAAUCCAAUUUUCCCAGCACCAUUUACUUUUUAAAAAUUUUAUCGUGCUUUAGGAGAAAGUUCACAGAGGAAAUUAGUUCCUCAUUCAAAAGUUUAUAAAUAGAUCAUUUUGCGACAUUGGUUUGAAUCCCUGCAAUGUGUCAGCACCAUCCCCCUUUCGCUUUACAUCCUGGGUUCCCCAUGUUCAUUCAUCCAGUUUUUCAGUCCCUUCCUGCCUUCUUAUCUUUGCUUUUGGGCAAGGGUUUCCCAUUUGUUUUUUUACUUUAGAUGAAGGUUUACAGAGCAAACUAGCUUCUCAUUAAACAAUUAAUACACAUACUGUUUUGAGACAUUGGUUGCCAACCCUACGAACUGUCAACACUCCCUGCUUCUCGACCUUGGGUUCCCCAUUACCAGCUUUCCUGUCCCCUCCUGCCUUCUCGUCCUGGCCCCUGGGCUGGUGUACCCAUUUAGUCUCGUUUUAUGUGGCUGUCUAAUCUUUGGCUGAACGAUGAACCUCAGGCGUGACUUCACUACUGAGCUAAAAAGGUGUCUGGGGCCAUAUUCUUGGGGUUUCUCCAGCCUUUGUCAGACCAGUAAGUCUGGUCUUGUGUGUGUGUGUGUGUGAGUUAGGAUUUUGUUCUACAUUUUUCUCCAGUCCUGUCCGGGACCCUCUCUUGUGCUCCCUGUUAGAGCAGUCGGUGGUGGAAGCUGGGCACCAUCUAGUUGUGCUGGACUCAGUCUGGUGGAGCCUAUGGUAGUUGUGGUCCAUUCAUCCUUUGGACUAAUCUUUGCCUUGUGUCUUUGGUUUUCUUCAUUGUCCCUUGCUCCGGAUGGGGUGGGACCAGUGGAAUAUCUUAGAUGGCCACUCACAAGCUUUUAAGACCCCAGAAGCUAUUCACCAAAGUAGAAUGUAGAACAUUUUUAUAAACCACGUUAUGCCAGUUGAACUAGGUGUUCCUUGAAACCAUAUUCCCCACAGCCCUCAGCCCAGUAAUUCAGUCCCUUAGGGAGUUUGGAUGUGUCUAUGAAACUUCCAUAACCUUGCCUUGGACAAGCUGUGCUGGCUUCCCCAGUAUUGUGUACUGUCUCACCCACCACCAAAAUCAGCACUUACCUAUUAACCUAGUUAGUGUUUUCCCCUCCCCACCCUCCCUUCCCUCCUAACCAUCAAAGAUUCUUUUGAUGUGUAAACCUUUUCAUGAGUUUUUAUAAUAGUGACCUCAUACAAUAUUUGUCCUUUUGUGAUUGACUUAUUUCACUCAGCAUAAUGCCCUCCAGAGUCAUCCAUGUUGUGAGAUGCUUCGCAGAUUCAUCAUUGUUCUUUAUCGUUCCCAGCACUAUUUACUGAAGAGACUCUUCUUUCUCCAUCGAAUGGACUUAGCACCCUUGUAAAAAAUCAGUUGACCAUAGAUGUGUGGGUUUUCUGAAGACUUUUAAUUGUCACAACUGGUGCUACUGGCAUCCAGUGGUUAGAAGGCAGGGAUGCUGCUACACGUCCUACAACGGACAAGGUUAAUGUUUUUGUGGGCCAUCUGGUCGAUUCCAUCUCAUAGCGACUCUAUAUGACAGAGUAGAACCACCCAUAGGUUAUCCUAGGCUGUAAUCUUUAUGGAAGCAGAUUGCCAGGUCUUUUCUCCCGUGGAGCAGCUGGUAGGUUCAAACACCCACCUUUCAGUUAGUAGCCGAGUGUUUACCAUUGUGCCACCAGGGUUCCGUAAUACACAGGUGGCCCCCCACAACACAACGAUGAAUUGUGACCCAAAAUGUCAAUAGUGCUGAGGUUGAGGAACCCUGCUUUACUUUUACAACGUGAUGCAUUGAUAGUGUGAUGACACGACGUGCAAGUAGGUGACAUGUAAGUUACAAAUGAAAAUGAAUCUGGUUUGUCAGCAAAGAGAUGUAGUCACCACUCCCAGUGUUAUGUAAGGUGAGCAACCCAAAUGCCUCUCUCCCAAGAAUAUCUGUAUUAAGAGCAGGGAUAUAUUAUAAAAAUUAGCUAAAUUUAAUUUGAGCUAUCUUUCACUUACAUUAAAGAAUAUUUUUACCAAGUCAUUUUAAGAAAAUGAUCUUAAUUUUAUUGCUUUGAAUUUGAUAAAAAUAUUUAUGUAAGUUCAUAUCUUACAGCUGGCCGUGAUUCUCAGAUUUACAUAAUAGUUUGCGUCCUGUACUUUUUUUGCGUAACACAGACAUCAAUAUGGCCAAAUGUCAACUCAUUCCACAUUUGUAUUAAUAACAAAUUAGUAUUUGUAAUAAACACUCCUGAACAGGUAUAAAAACUUAGAAUUCUUUUGUGUUUAAAAGAAAACACUGUUUAACAAAUAACAUCAUAGCCUCAAAAGACAUUCUAAAAAGGUACAAAAGUUGGGACAGGAGGAGUUGCAGUUCAGUUCACGUUCAGCUCUCCAAAUCGUUAAGGAUUAAACCCUUAGUCACUAACAUACCUGAUGUAACUUAAGCAUCUGCUACAUCCUGAGUCCUCAUUCUCUGCUGCUGAUAAAAUGAUGAUCCUUCUUGUGGUUGUAGCUUUUCAUCAGCUUUAACAUGGCAGUAGGUAUUAACAGAUUAUUACAGAUACAGGCGUCUCAGUUUUCUCAAGGUUAUGAACUGUAAGUGGAAUGAAGCAGCACUUCCAGCUCACAAACGGAUCCACAGGUAAUGUGAUAGCUCUUAAACUAAGCUUGUGACAAUUAAACCAAUAAAAUGUAGCAAUGAGAAAACUAUUGACAAAGUACAACCAGGGAAUGUUCAUCUCCAUGUAGGCUGGAAUCUGUACCUGAAGUAAAAGGAUGACUAUCUGAAGUAGUACAAAUGGCAACCAGGUACUGAGAAAACAGACAAUGAGCUUGGGCAAGAGGAUCUUUUUAGAGCUUGUGGUACAACUAGAGUGGGAUGAAAAGGGAAAAUAGAGGAUAGCCUCAUUCAUAUAGGAAGUUAUCCUAACAGCCUGUACCAAGGUGACGACUUCUGACCAAGAGGUUAUUAAAACCACUAGCAAGAUCAUCACCAAGGCCAACGAGAGCCAGUAGCUCUGAAUGCUGACAUAGAAAGGGCACUGAUAAGGGUAAGGAUAAGCGUCCUGCAUGCUCAGGCUUUGGGAGAUAGCUGGAUCUCCCAAAACAUAAGCAAGGACUGAAAUCCAAAUUAAAAUUACCGUAAAGACAUAAAAUAAUGUUUGACAUUUGCAUGGAAGUUUGGGGGUUUUUGAGAAAUUCAGGUAAUAAUCUAUACAAGCUAUCAGGAAAACUGGAUAAUGCAAAAAGCCGUACGUAAAGGAAAUAAUCUGAGUUAAUAGGCAGAUGUGGUAUUUAGUAAACCUGAUGCCUAAAAGUACAAAAUCCCUGAAAUAGGAUAUAAUGGAAAUGUUUACCAAAAGGAAAAGAUCGAUGAAUGCCAGUGAAAUGCAAAAAUAACCCAUAAAAUUUUGAUAGGUGUUUUUUCUUCUCAUUGCUAGGGUGAGGAUAUUUAAUAAUGUUUUCCCAAAUGUAAUCAAGAACAGCAGACUGCUAACAUUCAUGGGCUGGUGUGUCUGAUGUACCCAGUACUGAAAAGAGCAGUUCUCAGAGGAGCGAACAGUCAUUUUUAGUUAAAUUUCAGAAGGCCUGCUGCAAUACACACAAGAAAACACCGCUUCACUUUAUUUUCCAUCCCUGCCAAAAAAGGAGAAAGAAAACCUUGAUGUUAUCUUGCCAUCUCUAUUUCAAAACUACAACAGCAAGCAUCUCUAAUUUCAAAUAUCUAACCCAAUCAUUUUUCCAAAUAACUAAACAGGAAUUUAUAUUAUUCAUAACACUUUAAGAACAUAAGAUAUGGUCAAGAAGAAUUAACGUGUAUACUUUGGUUAUUUUUUUGGACCCAGAUGGUCCAGAACCUCCAGAUCAUUAACCCAAAAUACCACAGACUAACAUCAACCCAAGUACAGGUUUUAAUAACUUCUUAAAAAGAGGGAGAGAAAAAGCUUUUAUCUACUCAUUGCUGUCAAGUUGAUUUCGACUCAGCUACCCUGUAGGACAGAGGAGAACUGCCCCAUAGGGUUUCCAAGGCUGUAAAUCUUUUUUUUAAUUUUUAUUGUGCUUUAAGUGAGAGUUUACAAAUCAAGUCAGUCUUUCACACAAAAACUUAUAUACACCUUGCUAAACACUCCCAGUUGCUCUCCCCCUAAUAAGACAGCCCGCUCCCUCCCUCCACUCUCUCUUUUCGUGUCCAUUUUGCCACCUUCUAAUCCCCUCCACCCUCUCAUUUCCCCUCCAGGCAGGAGAAGCCAACAUAGUCUCAUGUGUCCACCUGAUCCAAGAAGCUCACUCCUCACCAGCAUCCCUCUCCAACCCAUUGUCCAGUCCAAUCCAUGUCUGAAGAGUUGGCUUCGGGAAUGGUUCCUGUCUUGGGCCAACAGAAGGAUUAUCUUUCAGGUGAAAUCUUUCUCUGAAACCUGAAGAUAUAAAACAAAUGGUUCAAAGGAAAAUAAUGGGACCACUGGUAAAGGGAAGAAAGGUAAGGAUUUAUACUAUGGAUAUUUGUGGAUAUGAUUUUUCAGCUGUGGCACCUGGAGAGACAGAGACAAGAGAAUGUGGAAAAGGGAUACAAAAAAAAAAAAAAAAAAACCCAUUGCCAUCGAGUCGAUUCCGACUCAUAGCAACCCCGUAGGACAGAGUAGAACAGUUCCGUAGGGUUUCCAGGAAGUGCCUGGUGGAUUCGAACUGCUAACUUUUUGGUUAACGGUCAUAGCUCUUAACCACUAUGCCACCAGGGUUUCUGGGCCUUUAAUAUGGAGACCUGAAAACAUUAAGAAGUGGUAGGCAAAGGCAAAAGAACAGGGACUGAAGUUUCAGUGAUGAAUGCAGGAAAAAGAGACGAUGAAAGAGAAAGGUCAGAGAGAAAGAAAUCAGGAGAGCAAAAAAAAAAAAAAAAGGGGG